UCGUAGUUGGCUACGUCUUGCGCCUUCGGGCCAUGCUCCUCUGCUGGCUGGCGACGGCUCCCGGGGUGCCACCCUCGGGAGCUGGCUAGCGGAUUGUAAUGUCACCUCGCGCGGGGAUAGAUCCUCUGCAGACGACUGUAGUGACCAAGCGGCGUCGUGUAAGCGGUCAAGUAGCCUUGUUGCUACGAGUCGCUGAGCGUCACCCGACCUUGGCUAGAUUU
rnacentral:rRNA from 1 species